GGGGUUGUAGCUCAGUGGUAGAGCACUUGCCUAGCACGUGUGAGCAUGUGAGCACUGGGUUCCAUCCUCAGCACCACA
rnacentral:tRNA from 1 species